UAAAUAAUUGUAAAAAUUAAUAAUAUAAGUUAAGAUUAAUAUAAUAAUUCCUGUUUAUACACGACUUUCUAUUGUAUACUGAAAUUGGUUCAAAAAUCAGCUCACUUAUAUAUGUAAAUUAGUAGAACAAAUAGUGUCAUUGUGGAAACUGCGCACGAGUAUUGUUUUACGAAAUGCUACAACUGAUAACGUGCGUAUUUGAUAUCUAUAUAAACUAUAGCAGACCAAAUAGUGUCGCUGAGAUGAUUUUAUGUGAAACUCGUCGAAGGAAAGAUGACAACAGUUAUUGUAUGAAUUUUGGUGAAAUAUGCGAAUAUUGAAUACAGAACGCCGUAUUCGAAAGCACUGUGGUCAUGCUGUUAUCUUCGAACCUGUUUAUUGUCCAUUUGAUAUAUAGAAUAUGAAACUGUCCAUCCUGUACGACAUUUGUACGCUUGUGAUUUGUGCGUUUGUGUUGGCUGAAGAGGGGCUAAUGCCCGAAACGCGACUUGUAAAUAGCGUCCCAACUGAAUAAAGUGUGAAUAAUCUGCCAAGUGUUGAAUAUUGUCACCUUAGUGUGUCUGUAAAGAAGUGUGAGAUCCGACCUCAGAAUAAGCCCAAAAUUGUUCAUUUUCUCCCUAAAUUUUCGACGUAUUUAAAAUAAAUUUGUCGCCUCCUCGUUAAAAUAACAUUGUCAGAAAAAAGAAUCAAAUAUCGAUCGCAACUUAUAACUUUCAUCGUUAAUAUAAACAUUCAACCCUCGAACAAUAACAUUCCUCUUCUGCAAGAUAAAAAGUUUAUAGUUAAAGUCCGAAUUCGUCAUUUUGUUUUGGUCCCGGGAACAACUUUGACCUCCACACCUGCAGGACCAACUCUAUCUCACACUAUAGGAGAUCACCUGACUGAUUUUCCCAGUCCGAAGCUAUAAAAGCGACUUCUUUCCCCCUCCUCGGGGGGGAGUCUCACAUCUACGGUCUAGAAGGAUUAAUUAAGUCUCCGGGAAACUUUAACUGUGUGCAUCGAUCACCGGAAAAAAAGGAAUAAAUUUUUCCCACCUACGUGGAAGUAAACUAGAGAUAUGAACAAAUUAUUGUAAACUCUCUCUCCGCGAGUUAGGAGCUAAUAGUGAGCUAAAU